GGAACGGUGGCCGAGUGGUUUAAGGCACCCGACUUAGCAUCGGAUGGCGUGUGAUAGCGUCCAUGGGUUCGAAUCCCAUCCGUUCCGCCA
rnacentral:tRNA from 1 species